rnacentral:rRNA from 1 species
CCUACGGGCGGCAGCAGUGGGGAAUAUUGGACAAUGGGCGAAAGCCUGAUCCAGCCAUGCCGCGUGUGUGAAGAAGGCCUUCGGGUUGUAAAGCACUUUCAGUGGGGAAGAAAGCCUUGGGGCUAAUACCCUCGAGGAAGGACAUCACCCACAGAAGAAGCACCGGCUAACUCCGUGCCAGCAGCCGCGGUAAUACGGAGGGUGCGAGCGUUAAUCGGAAUUACUGGGCGUAAAGCGCGCGUAGGCGGUCUGAUAAGCCGGUUGUGAAAGCCCCGGGCUCAACCUGGGAACGGCAUCCGGAACUGUCAGGCUAGAGUGCAUGAGAGGAAGGUAGAAUUCCCGGUGUAGCGGUGAAAUGCGUAGAGAUCGGGAGGAAUACCAGUGGCGAAGGCGGCCUUCUGGACUGACACUGACGCUGAGGUGCGAAAGCGUGGGUAGCAAACAGGAUUAGAUACCCUAGUAGUC